AUUGAACGCUGGCGGCACGCCUAACACAUGCAAGUCGAGCGGCAGCGAGGCUAGUAGCAAUACUAGUUGUCGGCGAGCGGCGGACGGGUGAGUAACACGUAGGAAUCUGCCCUUAAGCGGGGGAUAACCAAGGGAAACUUUGGCUAAUACCGCAUAAUCUCGAGAGAGCAAAGCUGCCCGCAAGGGUGGCACUUGAGGAGGAGCCUGCGUCCGAUUAGCUAGUUGGUGGGGUAAUGGCCUACCAAGGCGAUGAUCGGUAACUGGUCUGAGAGGACAACCAGUCACACUGGGACUGAGACACGGCCCAGACUCCUACGGGAGGCAGCAGUGGGGAAUAUUGGACAAUGGGGGCAACCCUGAUCCAGCGAUGCCGCGUGAGUGAAGAAGGCCUUCGGGUCGUAAAGCUCUUUAGGUUGGGAAGAAGUGUAUUGGCUGAAUAAUCCAGUACAUUGACGGUACCGACAGAAUAAGCACCGGCAAACUCUGUGCCAGCCGCCGCUGUAACAC
rnacentral:rRNA from 1 species